rnacentral:sRNA from 2 species
UAGAAAAUAUUUGUUAGGAAAGGGAUGGAAAAGGGUAAAAACAAACUACCUGGGCUGCAGUAGAUUGUUGCUUGAUGCAAACAUUAUUUCAUAGUAAUUUUAGAGCUGGAGAGUAUAGAUACGGCUUUAUAGGAGUAGCCUAGAGAGUGAAAAGGUAACCAAAAUAUAUAAAUGGGAAAAAUCAUAAAAGCUUCGCCCGUGGAACAUGUUGCACCGUAUGCCAUGGUUAACUGUAGACGACUUGUACUUCCUGUCAAGAUUUCUUGUCC